rnacentral:rRNA from 1 species
UCGACCUGAGCUCAAGCAAGACCACCCGCUGAACUUAAGCAUAUCAAUAAGCGGAGGAAAAGAAACUAACCAGG